CAGUCGCCACGGUAAUACGGAGGGUGCAAGCGUUAAUCGGAAUUACUGGGCGUAAAGCGCACGCAGGCGGUCUGACAAGUCAGAUGUGAAAUCCCCGGGCUUAACCUGGGAACUGCAUUUGAAACUGUCAGGCUGGAGUCUUGUAGAGGGGGGUAGAAUUCCAGGUGUAGCGGUGAAAUGCGUAGAGAUCUGGAGGAAUACCGGUGGCGAAGGCGGCCCCCUGGACAAAGACUGACGCUCAGGUGCGAAAGCGUGGGGAGCAAACAGGAUUAGAUACCCCCGUAGUCCCUGUCACUUAUAC
rnacentral:rRNA from 1 species